rnacentral:rRNA from 1 species
UACGUAGGGUGCGAGCGUUGUCCGGAAUUAUUGGGCGUAAAGGGCUCGUAGGCGGUCUGUCGCGUCAGGAGUGAAAACUCGGGGCUUAACCCCGAGCCUGCUUCUGAUACGGGCAGACUAGAGGUAUGCAGGGGAGAACGGAAUUCCUGGUGUAGCGGUGAAAUGCGCAGAUAUCAGGAGGAACACCGGUGGCGAAGGCGGCUUUCUGGACAGAUACCGACGCUGAGGCACGAAAGCUAGGGGAGCAAACAGG